AGGAAAGUAGCGAACGGGUGAGUAACACGUGAGAAACCUGCCUUUCACAAAGGGAUAGCCUCGGGAAACCGGGAUUAAUACCUUAUGAUACAUUAAUAUCGCAUGAUGUAAAUGUUAAAGAAUUUCGGUGAAAGAUGGUCUCGCGUCUGAUUAGCUAGUUGGUAAGGUAGUGGCUUACCAAGGCGACGAUCAGUAGCCGGAUUGAGAGGUUGAACGGCCACACUGGAACUGAGACACGGUCCAGACUCCUACGGGAGGCAGCAGUGGGGAAUUUUGCACAAUGGGGGGAACCCUGAUGCAGCGACGCCGCGUGAACGAUGGAGGUCUUCGGAUUGUAAAGUUCUGUCCUUAGCGAAGAUAAUGACAGUAGCUAAGAAGCAAGCCCUGGCUAAAUACGUGCCAGCAGCCGCGGUAAUACGUAUGGGGCAAGCGUUGUCCGGAAUUAUUGGGCGUAAAGGGUAUGUAGGCGGUUAAUUAAGUCUGAAUUCAAAGGCUGUGGCUCAACCACAGUUCGGUUUAGAAACUGGUUAACUUGAGUAGAUGAGGGGAAAGUGGAAUUCCAUGUGUAGCGGUGCAAUGCGUAGAUAUAUGGAGGA
rnacentral:rRNA from 1 species